UCUGGUCUCAGGUUUCUGGAAAAGAUGUAUUCUACUGAAUCUUGUUUUAACUAAGUAAAGGGAAGAAAAAAGCUACCAUAUAUAUUUUAACAUCUAGCAUGCAACAUAUGCAAAGAAAGGGGCAAGGUUUUAAUCUCACAAUUGUAAGCGGCAUUUUUUGACUCCCCCUGCUCCAAUGCAGACAUGCCUGUUAACAUGUAAAUGGUACCAUUUUUGUUGUUGUUGUUCUAGGCAUUAUAUUUGUGCAUUGAUCCAGAUGGAAUACCGAUGGCUUGGGAGUCUGGCUUCUAGUCAGUCAGUUCAGCUUCAUAGUUGGAGUAGCUGGAAUGGAGAUUGCCCAAACUUUUGAUACUAGCAGACAAUUUUCCCAUUCACUGGAACAUUUCUGAAUACAUUCUGUGCAUUAGAUGAACUGAAGGUAAAUAAGACCACAAGUUGGCUGCAAGCAACCCGCAUUUGGCUUCUAUUAGAAAAACAAAAUAUAUAAUUCAAAACACUCAUUAUUUGCGGCAUACUUCAGGGCAGCUAUCCAGCCCAAAUUAUUAUAUUAAACAAAAUAGCAAUGAUGUGAAUAGAUGAAAUAGCUCUUUAAUCAUUUGAGUCUAAUGGACUGGCCACUGAGCUAACUAUUUUUAUCUGUACAAAUGUUUGAUGAUAUGGAUUCUAGAAGGAUCAGUCUUUGUGAAUUGCAGCAACUGAGUUUUAGGUAGGGUUAAUUUUCCUCCUGGGAAACUGUUCUCUAAUUGUGUGUUUUUUAAAACAAUAAAAAUGUGACAUGAAGCUAAUAGCCAAACAAUUA